rnacentral:rRNA from 1 species
GAUGAACGCCGGCGGUGUGCCUAAUACAUGCAAGUCGUACGCACUGGCCCAACUGAUUGAUGGUGCUUGCACCUGAUUGACGAUGGAUCACCAGUGAGUGGCGGACGGGUGAGUAACACGUAGGUAACUUGCCCCGGAGCGGGGGAUAACAUUUGGGAACAGAUGCUAAUACCGCAUAACAACAAAAGCCACAUGGCUUUUGUUUGAAAGAUGGCUUUGGCUAUCACUCUGGGAUGGACCUGCGGUGCAUUAGCUAGUUGGUAAGGUAACGGCUUACCAAGGCGACGAUGCAUAGCCGAGUUGAGAGACUGAUCGGCCACAUUGGGACUGAGACACGGCCCAG